rnacentral:misc_RNA from 1 species
GAUGAAGAACGCAGCGAAAUGCGAUACGUAAUGUGAAUUGCAGAAUUCAGUGAAUCAUCGAAUCUUUGAACGCAUAUUGCGCUCUCUGGUAUUCCGGAGAGCAUGCUUGUUUGAGUAUCAGUAAACACCUCAACUUCCAUAUCUUUUUUGAAAUGGGAGUUGGACUUGAGUGAUCCCAACGCUUUUCCUCACCGAAAAGUGGCGGGUUACUUGAAAUGCAGGUGCAGCUGGACUUUUCUCUGAGCUAUAAGCAUAUCUAUUUAGUCUGCCUAAAAAACAGAUUAUUACCUUUGCUGCAGCUAACAUAAAGGAGAUUAGUUCUUGUGCUGACUGAUGCAGGACUCACAAAGACAGGCUUCGGCCGACUUUGUAAACUCGAUCUCAAAUCAAGUAAGACUACCCGCUGAACUUAAGCAUAUCAAUAAGCGGAGGA